CCUACGGGAGGCAGCAGUGGGGAAUAUUGGGCAAUGGGCGAAAGCCUGACCCAGCAACGCCGCGUGAAGGAAGAAGGCUCUCGGGUUGUUAACCUCUUUUGACAGGGAAGUGAAGAAGACGGUACCUGCCUAUUAAGCUACGGCUAACUACGUGCCAGCAGCUGCGGUAAUACGGAGGUGCCCAGUGUUGUCCGGAUUCACUGGGUGUAACGGGCGUGUAGCCGGGCUGAGAAGUCUGAUGUGAAAGCCGGGGGCUCAACCACCGAACUGCAUUUGAAACUGUUGGUCUUGAGUAUCGGAGAGGCAGGCGGAAUUCCUGGUGUAGCGGUGAAAUGCGUAGAUAUUAGGAGGAACACCGGUGGCGAAGGCAGCCUGCUGGACGGCAACUGACGGUGAGGCGCGAAAGCGUGGGGAGCAAACAGGAUUAGAUACCCGAGUAGUC
rnacentral:rRNA from 1 species